GUGAACGCUGGCGGUAGGCCUAACCCAUGCAAGUCGCACGGCAGCACAGUAAGAGCUUGCUCUUACGGGUGGCGAGUGGCGGACGGGUGAGGAAUACAUCGGAAUCUACUUUUUCGUGGGGGAUAACGUAGGGAAACUUACGCUAAUACCGCAUACGACCUACGGGUGAAAGCAGGGGAUCUUCGGACCUUGCGCGAUUGAAUGAGCCGAUGUCGGAUUAGCUAGUUGGCGGGGUAAAGGCCCACCAAGGCGACGAUCCGUAGCUGGUCUGAGAGGAUGAUCAGCCACAUUGGAACUGAGACACGGUCCAGACUCCUACGGGAGGCAGCAGUGGGGAAUAUUGGACAAUGGGCGCAAGCCUGAUCCAGCCAUACCGCGUGGGUGAAGAAGGCCUUCGGGUUGUAAAGCCCUUUUGUUGGGAAAGAAAAGCAGCAGGUUAAUACCCCGCUGUUCUGACGGUACCCAAAGAAUAAGCACCGGCUAACUUCGUG
rnacentral:rRNA from 1 species